rnacentral:rRNA from 1 species
GACGAACGCUGGCGGCGUGCUUAACACAUGCAAGUCGAACGGAAAGGCCCUGCUUUUGUGGGGUGCUCGAGUGGCGAACGGGUGAGUAACACGUGAGUAACCUGCCCUUGACUUUGGGAUAACUUCAGGAAACUGGGGCUAAUACCGGAUAGGAGCUCCUGCUGCAUGGUGGGGGUGGGAAAGUUUCGGCGGUUGGGGAUGGACUCGCGGCUUAUCAGCUUGUUGGUGGGGUAGUGGCUUACCAAGGCUUUGACGGGUAGCCGGCCUGAGAGGGUGACCGGCCACAUUGGGACUGAGAUACGGCCCAGACUCCUACGGGAGGCAGCAGUGGGGAAUAUUGCACAAUGGGCGGAAGCCUGAUGUAGCAACGCCGCGUGCGGGAUGACGGCCUUCGGGUUGUAAACCGCUUUCGCCUGUGACGAAGCGUGAGUGACGGUAAUGGGUAAAGAAGCACCGGCUAACUACGUG